rnacentral:rRNA from 1 species
UACGAAGGGGGCUAGCGUUGCUCGGAAUUACUGGGCGUAAAGGGCGCGUAGGCGGACAGUUUAGUCAGAGGUGAAAGCCCAGGGCUCAACCUUGGAAUUGCCUUUGAUACUGGCUGUCUUGAGUACGGGAGAGGUGUGUGGAACUCCGAGUGUAGAGGUGAAAUUCGUAGAUAUUCGGAAGAACACCAGUGGCGAAGGCGGCCCACUGGAUCGGUACUGACGCUGAGGUGCGAAAGCGUGGGGAGCAAACAGG